rnacentral:rRNA from 3 species
CCUGGCGGCUUUAGCGCGGUGGUCCCACCUGACCCCAUGCCGAACUCAGAAGUGAAACGCCGUAGCGCCGAUGGUAGUGUGGGGUCUC